CAGGAUGAACGCUGGCGGCGUGCUUAACACAUGCAAGUCGAACGGAGUUAGAUGAAACCUAGUGAUUCUAAACUUAGUGGCGGACGGGUGAGUAACGCGUGGGUAACCUGCCAUAUACAGGGGGAUAACACUUAGAAAUAGGUGCUAAUACCGCAUAAGCGCACAGGACCGCAUGGUCUGGUGUGAAAAACUCCGGUGGUAUAUGAUGGACCCGCGUCUGAUUAGCUAGUUGGUGAGGUAACGGCCCACCAAGGCGACGAUCAGUAGCCGGCCUGAGAGGGUGAACGGCCACAUUGGGACUGAGACACGGCCCAAACUCCUACGGGAGGCAGCAGUGGGGAAUAUUGCACAAUGGGGGAAACCCUGAUUGCAGCGACGCCGCGUGAGUGAAGAAGUAUUUCGGUAUGUAAAGCUCUAUCAGCAGGAAAGAAAAUGACGGUACCUGACUAAGAAGCCCCGGCUAACUACGUGCCAGCCGCCGC
rnacentral:rRNA from 1 species